GAUGAGGACGACGCACAAAUAAUUAUACAAGGGAUGGGGGCUUGUAAUUAAGACCCACCCUGAGAUGUUAGGGGGCCUUAAUAAAAUGUUUAUCAGAGGCCAUAACUAUUUAAAUAAUUUUAAAGUUGAAUAUGAAUAUAUAAUUUAAUUAAUUUAUAUUUAUAUUUAUAUUUAUCUUUUAAAUAAAAUUUUAAAAAUUGGAGGCCCUUAAGUUAAGAAAGGUCCUAGAUUAGGCUUGGCCUGGCCCGCGUGCCUAACAUAAAAUGUCCUUGUAGUGAAUCAAUUUUUUUUUUUAUUUAAUAGUUUGUUAAUUGUUUAAAUGUUUAUUUUAUUUUAUUUUAUUUAAUUGUUAGGUUGAAUAAUUGAUUUAAUUGAUUUUUAUUUUUAUUAUUUGUCUAUGUGUGUUGUGUGCUUGUUUGAGUGUGUGUGAGUGCAUGACAUGUAGUGUGCAAGCAUGAAGAUUAGGCUUGAACCCUAGACUAAAUUAUGAGAAUGUGAGUGUUUCCUUGUUUAGAGAUUUCUAUCAAAAAGAGAGAAGGUUCUAGAAAAGUAUGGGUUCACAUAGUGAAAAAGAAACAAAAUAGUAGGAUGAGAGAGAGGGUGGCGUGUGAGAGAGUGUGAAGAGCAAGAAUGAAUUGUUUCUUUUAGAAAAUAAAGGGAAAUAAAAUUUGGAAAAGUUUCCUUUUCCUUUAGCUUAGGGUUUCGGCCACUAGGAGGUUUAAAAGGGAAAAAAAAGAGCUUGAGAGCUCAUUACUCAGUGGCUGCCGAAAUCAUAAGGAGAGAGAGGAGAGAAAAGAGAAGAAAAGAAAGGAAAAGAAAAAGAGAAGAGAGAAAGGAGGGUUUCGAACCCUGGGAGAGAAAAGAGAAGAGGAAGCAAGGUUAUUGUAGUGUUAGCUAGAGUAUCAAAAAGGCUUAACUCUAGUGCUAAGUGUUGUUCUACACCAUCAAGAGGUAGGCGUUAGGUUAUUUGUGUGGCACAUAUUGUGAGCUGGGAGUUUUCAUGGUCAUAAGUAUGUAUGUUGCGGGGAGCUCGUGGACAGAGACGAUCCAAAAAAGCCAUAGAAUAAUAAUCAGUGUACCUUUUAUUUAUUUUCAAACUCAGUGUGUUGUAUUUAUUUUCUACAAAAUUGCAUAAAGACAUUAUUUUUUGUUUUUAAACUUUUGGGCCCAUAUUGCAUUAUUUUAUAAGGCCCCAGUGAACUUUUGGACUAUUAUUUACAUUUUUCUAUAUAAGUAUCAAAUGAUAUUUUUGUAAAGUUAGA